rnacentral:snoRNA from 1 species
AUGGCAUUAUUUGAAAGUGAACUUGUUCACAAGUGUAGGUAUCAUGCUACAUGAGGGGCAAGUUUUUCACUAACACUCCAUUCUGACACAAUGAGUAGAGUUGGUAGUACUCCUUGCUACAAGU